rnacentral:rRNA from 1 species
CUCGGGUGACGAGUGGCGGACGGGUGAGUAAUGUCUGGGAAACUGCCUGAUGGAGGGGGAUAACUACUGGAAACGGUAGCUAAUACCGCAUAACGUCGCAAGACCAAAGAGGGGGACCUUCGGGCCUCUUGCCAUCAGAUGUGCCCAGAUGGGAUUAGCUAGUAGGUGGGGUAACGGCUCACCUAGGCGACGAUCCCUAGCUGGUCUGAGAGGAUGACCAGCCACACUGGAACUGAGACACGGUCCAGACUCCUACGGGAGGCAGCAGUGGGGAAUAUUGCACAAUGGGCGCAAGCCUGAUGCAGCCAUGCCGCGUGUAUGAAGAAGGCCUUCGGGUUGUAAAGUACUUUCAGCGGGGAGGAAGGCGAUAAGGUUAAUAACCUUGUCGAUUGACGUUACCCGCAGAAGAAGCACCGGCUAACUCCGUGCCAGCAGCCGCGGUAAUACGGAGGGUGCAAGCGUUAAUCGGAAUUACUGGGCGUAAAGCGCACGCAGGCGGUCUGUCAAGUCGGAUGUGAAAUCCCCGGGCUCAACCUGGGAACUGCAUUCGAAACUGGCAGGCUAGAGUCUUGUAGAGGGGGGUAGAAUUCCAGGUGUAGCGGUGAAAUGCGUAGAGAUCUGGAGGAAUACCGGUGGCGAAGGCGGCCCCCUGGACAAAGACUGACGCUCAGGUGCGAAAG